UUUGGUUCCAUAUAAAACCCACUCAGCUCCACAGGCUGAGGGCCCGGUGAGUCACCCUGAAUGCGCAAGUUCACAGUCAAGCACUUCCUACAUCCUGCACCCCAGGGCACUCAGCAGAGAGGAACAACCUGAAGGGAUGAUGGGACUACAUCAGCACGAUAUCCAUCCUCAAGCAGGAUUUCCAGAGAAGAAAACCCCGAUCAAUAAAGGCUGGCUGGAGGGGGACGUGUGAAAAUGGCGGCAGAAUGGCGGUUGGGGAGAUGAAAGUGACAUUCCCAUCACGGGUCCUGGGCCUGAUGACCACAGGCCCCGGCCUGCUUGAAUAAUCUGAAUGGCCCAUCAUCCUCUUACAUCUUUUCACUCUCUCGUCCCUGACUGCUGGAACUCUUCAUCUCGCACAAUGGCAAAUGCACUAAAACUUUUUUUUCUUAUGCUAAUGGCCACAGCCAGGCUGUCACAUAAAAAAAAAACACACUUCCCACCAUCUCACUCCUUUUUUUCCAGAGGAACUGAACUGAGCUUUUCCUGCAUCUUUCCUUCUUCCCCCUUUUUUUUAAACGUAUUCUUAUUUUCUUAAACUAUUUGCAGUGAUUAAAAGGAUUUUAUGCAGCAAGGAAAUAAUACAUUUAUUUUUGUAUUUCAUUUUUAAGCUCUCCAUACAAUUAGUUGUUUUUUUAAAAAUGCAGAAAAAUAGGCUAUACAACCAAUGAGCACUAAAUGUAUUUUGCAUUUAUUCAUGCAUUUGUGUCCACUUUUAAUAAAUUCAGAAUAUUCUAGUUUAUCAGUUCACUAGGUUAUGCUCAGUAUCAUUCAUGAAGGCAAGAAAAAAGUUUUAAAUGUU